rnacentral:rRNA from 1 species
GACGUAGGGCGCGAGCGUUGUCCGGAUUUAUUGGGCGUAAAGAGCUCGUAGGCGGCUUGUCGCGUCGAAUGUGAAAACCCACGGCUCAACUGUGGGCUUGCAUUCGAUACGGGCAGGCUAGAAGUUCGGUAGGGGAGACUGGAAUUCCUGGUGUAGCGGUGAAAUGCGCAGAUAUCAGGAGGAACACCGGUGGCGAAGGCGGGGUCUCUGGGC